CAGACUUCUGUUGUUGAUUCAUUAAACUGACUGGAGUCAUUAGCAGGAUGUAGUGCUGGAAGAGAAACUGCUAUCUGCUGUACAGCCACUUGUUAACUGUGAACAGUGUGUUUACCAUCACAGAUUUGUCUGUCAAGGCCAUUAAAUGUCAGAAGCCAUCAGAUUUAUUUUCAGAACAGAAUGUCUUGCAUCUACUUGAUCUUGCAUGAAGUGCAAGGUAAUAUUGAGUCUGAGAGUGUACAAUUAUUGCCAAUACCAGUCUGACAGGGAGUGCAUGUGUAUGACCUUGACUUUGGAGCAGUGAGCAGUAAUUAUGGCCAGGGAAAA